UACGUAGGGUGCAAGCGUUGUCCGGAAUUAUUGGGCGUAAAGAGCUCGUAGGCGGUUUGUUGCGUCGGCCGUGAAAUCCCGAGGCUCAACCUCGGGUCUGCAGUCGAUACGAGCAAACUAGAGUGUUGCAGGGGAGACUGGAAUUCCUGGUGUAGCGGUGAAAUGCGCAGAUAUCAGGAGGAACACCGGUGGCGAAGGCGGGUCUCUGGGCAACAACUGACGCUGAGGAGCGAAAGCGUGGGGAGCGAACAGG
rnacentral:rRNA from 1 species